ensembl:lncRNA
GGCUCGGCCGCUGGACCGGAGGAGAGCGAGCUGCUCGGUCCCAGGAGGGCUGCGAGGGAAGGAGGCGGCUCUCGGGCGCUGUGCCGGGGUGAUGCCGGCGCUCGCACGCAGGACUCCUCGGGUGCGGGGGAGCCUUUGGGGGACCCUUCGGGCUGAGCCGGCUGCCAGGCGUGCAAAUGAUGUACCUUACUCAGCUAGAGCAACACUGACGUAAAUCAGCUCCUGGAACAUCACCGGGUACGAUGGCAAAACCAAGCCCGGACCAACAGGAAGGUGCUGAAAAUGCCGGCAGCCUCUCUCCGUUAGCAUUCUUGGCUUUAUUGCUGUGGAAGAAGAUGUGAUAAUGGGAAUUUGGCCCAAAAGUACCCGCUUGGGUUGCACAGUGGCUGUUGAGGCAUGACACACGCAGUUGCCCAGCUGCACGUUGCUCUACAGUGGGAGGAAGCUGCGGAGGAAGGAAAAUGAAGAGAAUUACUCCAUCCAAAACAUUUGACGGAACAUAUCUUUAAUCCAUCUCCGGUAUAAAACAUCAUCCAAAUUGCACUUCUGCUUCUGAAAUGGAUGACAGUGUGAGCAGCGCAGGGUCCACCCACAGCUUCGUAAUGUCAGGGAGGCCAUCAGCUGGAGACCAAAGCAGGAGGAACGAGAGUCACUUCUCCCUUCACUGCUUUGUGGUUUUCAGCUCCUUCACCCGACCGAUGUUUUUUCACGGAUGAAAUCUGAACGAAGUACUUCCCAAAUUUGUGCUGCUGUUGUUCUAACACAAGUUACUCAGGGAGGAGAACAACCUGGAACAGAGAUUUCCAACAAAAGCACGGUUUUCUGGUGGUAAACAGCAUCAAAACUAGAGGUAUGGAUACACCAAGUAGCGCUGGAUUACUGUAUGUGCAUGACUAUUACAAAAGCUCAGAUAUUUUAACUUCCUCCUAACAACAUCCUCAAACUCCUCAGUGAUUGCAUUGCAUUCUUAUACUGAAGCCUGAUGCACAACCCACACACGUGUGGCCAGCACUCUCCUUGUAGCACUGGUUGUAGAGGAGCUACAGUAAAGGUUCCCUGGUGCUGCUGCUGCUGCUCCCUGGGCCAUUCCAGAGGACCUCUGAUCGAGGGAAGUCCCUGCCACCUGCAGGGAGCAGGACACUGCCACAAAUCUAAGGAGACAGAGGAUUUUGUGGUGAUAUUUGUGGAAGAUGCCCAGGACGGGGAGCUGGAGGUACUGUCAUUGUGUCCUGCCCAUCUCUCAGCUCAGGAGCACAGUGCUGGAGGAUACCUCCUCCCAGGCCCUAUCUAGUGUAACAUUUAGAAAAGGGCUGGCUACAAAACUCCUUCUCUGCAUUUCCCCAUCACUUCAGGACUCUCCCAACCCUCUACAUCAAACUGGAAUCCUGCAGCAAGAGACUAAAAUCUGCAAUAAUUUGCAACAACAGGGAAAUGGCUGUGGCUUUGAUUUCCAACCAACUGCAGAGGAGGCAUAGUGUGUGAAAGACAUCAGCACUCAGGAAUUAAACAAGUUCUGAGCCCAGCACCACUUCUCGGUGCACCACCUCUGCAAAUCUGCCAGAAUCACUACAUUUAUCUAUACCAAGACCUCAAAGCAUAUUUGUUACAAGAAGCAGGUAUAUUUAGGCCUCUGUGCCUGUGUGUUGCCUGAAUCCCAUAUUCACAGCAUGUAGAGCAAAGGCCAAAAUCAAAGUCAUCUGACAGUGAGGUUUUAGGCAUGGUGGAGCCAGGCAUCACUGUGACCUCUCCGUCCAUGGACCUCUUUGAUGCAGCUCUCUCUGAGCUGGUAUAUGGGAAGAGAAGCAGAGAGAGAAGGAGCACAAGCUGCAACCAUGUGCUGUUUCAGGAAAGACUUUUUCUAAGCAGUGAGAUUUCUCCACUUGCUAUCCGCACCCACUUACUGGUCACUCUCUAAUAUACAAGAAAUGCAAAAGUGGUUCUAACAAAAGUGAUCCUAAUGCCUUAUCUCUUGGAUGCUGCUCUGAGGCAAGUUUCCCAGGUGCCAAAGACCGAGUGAUUCACCUGAACCAGGACGUUCUCUCUUAUCGGUUUGAUUUCUCUCUCCCUGAAGGAGAGACCAUCUGAAAGGAAAGGAGCUCACUGGAUAAAGCUUCAAGGCUCUGCAAUUGAAAACUGCCUAGUGGAAAAGCUCAAUAAUGAUAGCAGUAUGCCUGAAAUUUGAAGGAUCACGUGAAUGUUUGUAUUUAUCGCCACUAGCCUGUAGAGAACAAUGCUGCCUUAGCAAAGUCCACACUCUAUUGAACACAUACUGAACUUCGCAGUAUUAAGCUCUGUACAUUUUCAUGCUUUUCAUAUUGAAGUUUGCAUAAUGUUUUUUAUGGAAGAAAGUAAAAUUGGAGCUCUUCAUACUUCACACAGCCAUUUUUCAAACCAGAGGUGUACUUUGUUUUCUG